GAANUCCCCGAGCUUAACUUGGGAACUGCGUUUUGAACUGNUAAGCUAGAGUAUGUCAGAGGGGGGUAGAAUUCCACGUGUAGCAGUGAAAUGCGUAGAGAUGUGGAGGAAUACCGAUGGCGAAGGCAGCCCCCUGGGAUAAUACUGACGUUCAUGCUCGAAAGCGUGGGUAGCAAACAGGAUUAGAUACCCUGGUAGUCCACGCCCUAAACGAUGUCAAUUAGCUGUUGGGGCACUUGAUGCCUUAGUAGCGAAGCUAACGCGUGAAAUUGACCGCCUGGGGAGUACGGUCGCAAGAUUAAAACUCAAAGGAAUUGACGGGGACCCGCACAAGCGGUGGAUGAUGUGGAUUAAUUCGAUGCAACGCGAAGAACCUUACCUGGUCUUGACAUGUACGGAAUCUUCCAGAGACGGAAGAGUGCCUUCGGGAGCCGUAACACAGGUGCUGCAUGGCUGUCGUCAGCUCGUGUCGUGAGAUGUUGGGUUANNNNNNNNNNCGAGCGCAACCCUUGUCAUUAGUUGCCACCAUUCAGUUGGGCACUCUAAUGAGACUGCCGGUGACAAACCGGAGGAAGGUGGGGAUGACGUCGAGUCCUCAUGGCCCUUAUGACCAGGGCUUCACACGUCAUACAAUGGUCGGUACAGAGGGUAGCCAAGCCGCGAGGUGGAGCCAAUCUCAGAAAACCGAUCGUAGUCCGGAUUGCACUCUGCAACUCGAGUGCAUGAAGUCGGAAUCGCUAGUAAUCGCAGGUCAGCAUACUGCGGUGAAUACGUUCCCGGGUCU
rnacentral:rRNA from 1 species